rnacentral:rRNA from 1 species
GGGGACGGGCUACGGGCUUAAUUGCUUGGGGUCGGAAUCAGCGAUGUUACUUUGAGUAAAUUAGAGUGUUCAAAGCAGCUACGCUCUGAAUAUAAUAGCAUGGGAUAACACGACAGGACUCUGGCCUAUCGUGUUGGUCUAUAGGACCAGAGUAAUGAUUUAGAGGGACAGUCGGGGGCAUUCGUAUUCCGUUGUCAGAGGUGAAAUUCUUGGAUUUACGGAAGACGAACAUCUGCGAAAGCAUUUGCCAAGGAUGUUUUCAUUGAUCAAGAACGAAAGUUGGGGGCUCGAAGACGAUUAGAUACCGUCGUAGUCUCAACCAUAAACGAUGCCGACUAGGGAUUGGCGGGUGUUUUUUUGAUGACUCCGCCAGCACCUCAUGAGAAAUCAAAGUUUUUGGGUUCCGGGGGGAGUAUGGUCGCAAGGCUGAAACUUAAAGGAAUUGACGGAAGGGCACCACCAGGCGUAAACCAAGCCGCCAGUAGGCUCUGCGCCAGUCGAGAUGGGGCCCGCCCGAAGAGGCCCCGAGAGCGUCUCGGCUAGUCCCGGCGGACAGACUCGCACUCCGCCGGGGCCACACCAUCGAACUGCUGGGAACCCCUAAAGCUCCGGAUACCAAGCGGCGGCGGAAACGCGGCCGUGGCCCCUGCUCGGGGGAGGUGACAACUCCGGAGAUGGUCCGACAAUGGGCGAUCAGCAGCGAAGCCCCUAAAGGCCGGCACGGCCCAAGGGGAACGUUCAGAGACUAAGCGGUGGUGGGCUGGCUCCCGGGCCGGCUUAAGAUAUAGUCCAACCCCCGCCGAGAGGCGACGACGGGAGGAGGGGGUGCGACCCCAGAGCCCGCCGGUAGG